UGACACUUGUAUAAUGUUUUCAAAUUGGUGAAUUACUUUUUGGAUAUUUCAUUUGAUCCUUCAGCAAUUCUAUGAAGUAGUAUUAUUAUUCUUAUUCCCAUUUUGAAGAUGAGAAAACUGAGACUCCAAGAGUUUAAGUGACAAGCCUUGAAUAAAAGAGACAGGAUUUGUCCUGUGAGGUGAAGAAACUUCAAGGAAGUGACUUGCCCGAUGAUGUGGUUUCCAAAUCCAAAAUUCAUAAUUUCAUUCACUGAUUAAUCUUCCCCAUCAAUGCACAAGUUUCAGUCAAGUAAAUAGAUCAAUUACCUGCUUCAAGAAAGGAUGCUUAAGUAAAGAGAAAGAAAAAAA
rnacentral:lncRNA from 1 species